UACGUGAGGGGCGAACGUUGUUCGGUGUCACUGGGCUUAAAGGGCGCGUAGGUGGCUGUGCAAGUAAGGUGUGAAAGCCCUCGGCUUACCCGGGGAAUUGCGCCUUAAACUGCAUGGCUUGAGGGUUUCAGGGGAAAGGGGAACUCCAGGUGUAGCGGUGAAAUGCGCAGAUAUCAGGAGGAACACCGGUGGCGAAGGCGGGUCUCUGGGCCGAUACUGACGCUGAGGAGCGAAAGCGUGGGGAGCGAACAGG
rnacentral:rRNA from 1 species